CCUUGUAGCAUUUCCUCAGAGCAUAAACCUUAUGACAAUGGCCCGUAAUGGAGCCAUUUUGAAUUGUUAUGGAGGCUCCUCUAAAUAAUUAAACCAGAAUCUCACAUCUCUUCAGCCUAAUGUCUGUGCAUAUUCCACAUAAAUGAGGCAUUUACUUUGCAACUUAAAAUUUUAUUCCUUUUUAGGAAAAUACUAUUGUUAUGAUAACCACUAGACCUGCCAGGAGCUCUUCUCUGUGCCAGUGUAAUGGACUCUUUGCAAAGAGAAGUGUCCAAUAUACUUAUUUUAAAGCACAUCUUGGCCUCUUACAAUGGUUGAAAGGCAGGAUGACAUUACCAAACAAUCUCAGUGCUUUGGAAGACAUUGGAAUUACAGUCAUACCUUGGUACUUGACAACUUUGAAACUCAUCAAAUUUGAUACUUGACUCAUUUUGACACGAAAACUUUGUCCUGGUACUCGUCAUUUCUUUGGUACUCAGUGCGCAAGCUAGAACUUGUCAGUGUCGGUUGCCUCCUGACUCACUACCCUUCCAGCCAAAACAAAAGGUCUGCAUUAGUCACAUGGUACCUUUUGCCCUGUACACAUCCCAUUGCCAUCUUAGCUUCUACGGUCAGUUUUUGCAUUUUUACAUUUUUUUUCCCCAUCAUGGGUCCUAAGAAAAUGAGCAAUAAUCGUGUUGAGCAGAAAAGAAAAUUACUUUGCACCACCAUUCAGCAAAAUAAAUAAAUAGUUAAACAUGAGAGUGGUAUUUGCAUUACUGAUCUUGUUAGGGAAUAUGGUAUGCCUAGAGCAACUGUCUCCACCAUCAUUAGGAAUAAAGAAGAGAGUUUUUAAAAAGGCUGAUGUUGUGAAAGGAGUUAAAGCAGUAACAAAGCAGUGUUCCCAAGCACUCGUGGAAGUUGAAAAGCUGUGAUUAAUUUGGGUAAACAAGCAGUUAGCGGGCGACAGUGUGCUGGAAGCCAUGAUAUGUGAAAAAGGGAAAGUGUUGGCUGCCAAUCUUUUGAAAAACAAACUGGGACCAAGUGAUGAGGGUGUUGAAGUUUUUAAGGCCAGCCUGGCUGAUUUGAUGAUUUUAAAAAGAAGACCUGCGUCCAUAGUGUUGUGAGGCAUGGUGAGGAAGCUAGUGCUAAUAAAAGGUGAUUGAUGAAUUUGUCAUUGAAUUUCAACAUUACAUAGAGACUAAGGUUCCCCCACCACCACCACCACC
rnacentral:lncRNA from 1 species